rnacentral:misc_RNA from 1 species
UCUCCGUUGGUGAACCAGCGGAGGGAUCAUUACCGAGUUUACAACUCCCAAACCCAAUGUGAACCAUACCAAACUGUUGCCUCGGCGGGGUCCCGCCCCGGGUGCGUCGCAGCCCCGGAACCAGGCGCCCGCCGGAGGGACCAACCAAACUCUUUCUGUAGUCCCCUCGCGGACGUUAUUUUUACAGCUCUGAGCAAAAAUUCAAAAUGAAUCAAAACUUUCAACAACGGAUCUCUUGGUUCUG